rnacentral:tRNA from 1 species
GCCCUCGUAGCUCAGUUGGUAGAGCAGCACACUUGUAAUGUGACGGUCGUGAGUUCGAUUCUUACCGUGGGCACCA